rnacentral:rRNA from 1 species
CAGUAGCCGCGGUAAAACGAAGGGGGCUAGCGUUGUUCGGAAUUACUGGGCGUAAAGCGCACGUAGGCGGAUAUUUAAGUCAGGGGUGAGAUCCCGCAGCUCAACUGCGGAACUGCCUUUGAUACUGGGUAUCUUGAGUAUGGAAGAGGUUAGUGGAAUUGCGAGUGUAGAGGUGAAAUUCGUAGAUAUUCGCAGGAACACCAGUGGCGAAGGCGGCUAACUGGUCCAUAACUGACGCUGAGGUGCGAAAGCGUGGGGAGCAAACAGGAUUAGAUACCCCAGUAGUCCCUGUCUCUUAUAC